rnacentral:rRNA from 1 species
UAGAGAUUGCAUAAUCUUUAUUUGAAAGUGCCAACUGGUACACUAUGAGAUGGACCCGCGUUGUAUUAGCUAGUUGGUAGUGUAAUGGACUACCAAGGCGAUGAUACAUAGCCGACCUGAGAGGGUGAUCGGCCAAAUUGGGACUGAGACACGGCCCAAACUAAUACGGGAGGCAGCAGUAGGGAAUCUUCGGCAAUGGACGAAAGUCUGACCGAGCAACGCCGCGUGAGUGAAGAAGGUUUUCGGAUCGUAAAACUCUGUUGUUAGAGAAGAAUGUUGAUUAGAGUGGAAAAUUAAUCAAGUGACGGUAUCUAACCAGAAAGGGACGGCUAACUACGUGCCAGCAGCCGCGGUAAUACGUAGGUCCCGAGCGUUGUCCGGAUUUAUUGGGCGUAAAGCGAGCGCAGGUGGUUUAAUAAGUCUGAUGUAAAAGGCAGUGGCUCAACCAUUGUGUGCAUUGGAAACUGUUAGACUUGAGUGCAGUAGAGGAGAGUGGAAUUCCAUGUGUAGCGGUGAAAUGCGUAGAUAUAUGGAGGAACACCGGUGGCGAAAGCGGCUCUCUGGACUGUCACUGACACUGAGGCUCGAAAGCGUGGGUAGCAAACAGGAUUAGAUACCCUGGUAGU